CUCAUAUUUGUUUAAUCUCCAAAUUCCAACACGUGCCACAGGAGUGCUGUGCUUUUAUAGACCGGGGCAGUGCAAAAAACAUUCCGUAUCCAAGAAAAUCUUGCCAAAAUCCCUGGCAAUGCAUCUUUUCUUUUUCUCCAACUUGUAAUCCUUGUUUUGCUCUUGGUGCUCAUGGUAACAGUAACAGCUGUCGAACAUGGCUUCAGGCUGUCAGACUCCCUCGGGAGAAUUUAUGUGUUUUUCUACUUCCUUUCCUUAUUAGGAGGCAGGAAUCUGUGACACCUAUUAGAACAAGCAUGCAUAAAGGGUAAUGACUAUGCAAUUUAUUAGUGGUCUGUGCUUCUUCAAGCAAACCAUCGACCGCAAGCAUGCAGUGUGUGCCAGGGGCUGGGGCUAAGUAUGAUCCUGCUGUGCAGCAGGUGGGCAGUGGCAGGGCUAUGCUACAGGGAGAAUUUUGGCAAGGGAGGCUAGAUGCUGAUUUGUUUAAAUAAACUUCUUAAUUAAAUAUAAGUGAAAAUAGUUGGGUUGAUGAGUUUCUCUUCCUAAGGGUUUAGUUUGAAACCCCAAGUGAGGAAAACAAAUAGCAGUAAUCCAAAUCCUGUGAUUUUUGUGCCUGUAUAAUUGUCGUCCUUAACCGUGGUGUCCUUGGUACUGCUGAGCCUCAUAAGCAUUCCCCACAAGUUGUUGUGCCUGUAGAAGACUGUCUGAUAAAGUGUCAGCAUGUGUGGGAUGGAGAGGAUCAAAAGGCAGAGAAAACAACUGUAUAAACAGUUCAGGUGGGUCUCUCUCUACAUUUGAAGAUGUGCAUACCUAUGUUUGCUCCAUGAGUCGGCUCAGCAUCUAGACAUCGUGUACUAAUACCUGAACACUUUUCACAGAGAUUCUCUAUCAUUUCUGUUCAUGGUGUUAUUUGAAUGAGCAGCAGAAAACAUCUCAUCCUCUCUUAAAAUGUCAUCUUGCUGUUAUAUUUUGCUGUAUCAAGCAACAACCUGAGCAUCUGAAGAGACUUGUGCAUAAAGUUCACGGGACCAUAUGUUUCUUUGCCCAUUUUUUCAGACUUGUGUCUGUCUGUUGCCAUCUGGUCUGCAGUGUGUAGCAGGAAGUAACACACAAAGUAAAACCAACUGUGGGUAUGAUACUAGCAAACGCAGCUCCUCACAUUUCAUGAAGGCUUGAAAACUCCAGUAGUUUUCCCAGAUUUGUAGCUGUCAUCUGAGGUGAAGUAGCAAAACAGAUUUUUGAAUGUGCCAAUGAAUAGCUACCAUCAAUGCACCUCUGUCCCUGAAGCAAAUGAAUUAUUGCCAAUGAUUAAGCAGAGCAUGUUAAUGCAUUAUGUUUAAAAGUCUAAUAGGUAGCUAAUGAGAGUGUUUUGUGGACAACUGGGCCACAGUGUGCUGUGACAUUUACCUUACAGUAGUUUUGAGAAUCCUUGAGAUCCACCAAUCUUUUGUAGAACUUUUAGCACUUCAAGGCAUACAAGCUGCUUAGGAAAUCUCUGCCCCAUACGGCUUUCUAGUUCUUACAUUCUUCUCACUAGUCCUUAGGCUUGGAAGUCCUUAGGCUUGCAAAUGAACCAAAGGUGUUGGGAAUACACUUGGAUGUCCUGAAUAUUUUUUCAGCAAAGCUAGACUGUUUGGAUUCCUGUCCCAGGAAAUUCUAGUUCAUUUGACCCAUUUUUGUCUUUCUGAAGUCCAACUGAAAAAGAAAAAUACAUUCCAACUCUAAAGGAGAAACACAAUCACUUGAAAACAUAUCCACCAUUGUUCCAUGUGACUGCUAUUAAUUUUUACAUGGAAUCCUCUUAAUCAGAAGGUAUGCAUAAAGCACUGUAUAGCUACAGGCAGAAACACAGGACUUCCUGCUGCUAUAAAAGCAGCAAUACACAUUCAGGUAGAAAAUUACUGCACUGAAUCAUUCAAAAGCUGG
ensembl:lncRNA